rnacentral:rRNA from 1 species
AAUUCUAGAGCUAAUACAUGCUAAAAACCUCGACUUCGGAAGGGGUGUAUUUAUUAGAUAAAAAACCAAUGCCCUUCGGGGCUCCUUGGUGAAUCAUAAUAACUUAACGAAUCGCAGGCCUUGCGCCGGCGAUGGUUCAUUCAAAUUUCUGCCCUAUCAACUUUCGAUGGUAGGAUAGUGGCCUACCAUGGUGGCAACGGGUAACGGGGAAUUAGGGUUCGAUUCCGGAGAGGGAGCCUGAGAAACGGCUACCACAUCCAAGGAAGGCAGCAGGCGCGCAAAUUACCCAAUCCCGACACGGGGAGGUAGUGACAAUAAAUACUGAUACGGGGCUCUUUUGGGUCUCGUAAUUGGAAUGAGUACAAUCUAAAUCCCUUAACGAGGAACAAUUGGAGGGCAAGUCUGGUGCCAGCAGCCGCGGUAAUUCCAGCUCCAAUAGCGUAUAUUAAAGUUGUUGCAGUUAAAAAGCUCGUAGUUGAACCUUGGGUCUGGCUGGCCGGUCCGCCUCACCGCGAGUACUGGUCCGGCUGGACCUUUCCUUCUGGGGAACCUCAUGGCCUUCCUGGCUGUGGGGGGAACCAGGACUUUUACUGUGAAAAAAUUAAAAUGUUCAAAGCAGGCCUUUGCUCGAAUACAUUA